CUACGCUAGAGAAGUCAACAAACUGCAUGUUUCUGAUCUACCAAAUUAUGCACAAAAUAUUUCUUUAAAGUAUCUAGAAGAAGAAUUUCAGAAAAUUCCAUACGGUCUUACAAAAGCCUUUGAAGUUUCACAAACAAAACUCAACAUGCACAAAAAUAGGUACCAAGGAAUCUACCCGUAUGAUGAUACGAGAGUGUUACUACGCGGCGAAGAAACAGACUACAUUAAUGCAAGCUAUAUGGACGUAUGUUGUUUCUAAAAAGGCAAAAUGAUUGUAUCUACCCUUUAUAUAAGUAUACUGUCAUUAAUACAGAAG